rnacentral:rRNA from 1 species
AUACGGAGGGGGUUAGCGUUGUUCGGAAUUACUGGGCGUAAAGCGCACGUAGGCGGAUUGGAAAGUUGGGGGUGAAAUCCCAGGGCUCAACCCUGGAACUGCCUCCAAAACUAACAGUCUAGAGUUCGAGAGAGGUGAGUGGAAUUCCAAGUGUAGAGGUGAAAUUCGUAGAUAGUUGGAGGAACACCAGUGGCGAAGGCGGCUCACUGGCUCGAUACUGACGCUGAGGUGCGAAAGCGUGGGGAGCAAACAGGAUUAGAUACCCUAGUAGUCC